AGACGGUGUAUUUUCUUGUGAGAUAUUUUUCAUAAGUAACAAAAUAAAUUUCGAAAGUUUUAAAUGGAAUUAUUAUUCGUGUAAAUUUAACUGGCAGGAAAGCAGAUAAUGUAGCCCCUUGUGAGAACGUACGCGGAUAUUAGUCACAAACUUAAUUGUCCGGAGAGGAUUUACAGAGUUCAUGAAAGGCUGUUCGUGGAAGCUGACUCCGAGCCGACUCUCUACUGGACGUUGCACAUUACAGCGGGAUAAUCUUGCAGAAAGCGGAUUUGUGUCUGUAUCAAUCAAUCAUCAAAACGAUGAACGCAACCUUGUGGAAUUAAUUGGGAAAGAAACUGCGAUCGUACAAGUUUGUUUUAAUGAAUCGUUCUUAGGAAUUAUGCAAUGGUGAUAAGCACCGUUCCUCGAUCACUACUCUUUGUUGUCUUUUAUCUAGAUUUAAGAACAAAAUUCAAUU
rnacentral:misc_RNA from 1 species